UACAGAGGGUGCAAGCGUUAAUCGGAUUUACUGGGCGUAAAGCGUGCGUAGGCGGUUCAGUAUGUCGGUCGUGAAAUCCCGGGCUUAACCUGGGAACUGCGGCCGAAACUGCUGAGCUUGAGUGUGGUAGAGGAAGGUGGAAUUCCGAGGUGUAGCGGUGAAAUGCGUAGAUAUCGGGAGGAACACCAGUGGCGAAGGCGAUCUUCUGGACGGAUACUGACGUUGAGGCGCGAAAGCUAGGGAGCAAACAGGAGUUAGAA
rnacentral:rRNA from 1 species